CCCAAAAUUUAAAUUUAAGUAAUAAGUUAAAUAACGAUUUGAAAAUCACUCGGUCAUGAGACAACAUCACAACUUAUACUUGAUGUUAGACUAUUCUCGCAUAAAUAAAUUAAAAGAAAAUUUGACUUAAGCUGAAGUAAUAAUAGUGAUAAUGCUUAUCCCCAAAAAAGUAAAAAAGUAACAAACCAGUGACAUGAUAUGCCCAUCUGCUCUUGGACUCAGGUUAGAGAAUUUGGGCUCAAGAGGCAACAAUUAAAUAAUUGGUGUUAUUUGCACACCUCCAACAUCCUUUUUAAACCCCUCGUAGUCUUGUUUACAAUUUUAACCCUAACUAAAAAUUUCCCCUUGACACCCACACCCACAUCCAAAUACAACGCAAAUGAAGACUGCUUGCGGAGCUGCUGUAAACAUUUAAAAAAUGAUUUUCUUGGAUGGAAAUAAUUUAAAGAUGAAAACAAUUUCAUAUGGCUUGUUGUAAAUCUUUUAAUACUCCCAUGAUUCGACCUAUGGAGUUAGCUUUAUUCAACUAAUUAUACUUUAGAUUCUUCAUUUUUUGAGUUCGAAACUAUGAGAAGUUGAACAAAAAUAUACAAAUUAUGAUCAAAAUAAGGAUUUUUCUAUGAUGGUGUAUGAGUUUUUACAAUAUUGAUAAUGAGAUUGUUAUGGACUCUUAGAUUUAAGUGCUUUAAUCCCUACCAUUCAUUUAAUAUAGUGGAUAAAAAUUAAUUAAUUAAAGAAUAACAGGUAAACUUCAGUUUGUAAGUAAAUGUAGAUUUUUUAUUUUUAAUUAAUUAACAACUGAAAAAUUCUAUUAUGUUGGAAUAAAAAUCCCACAAUUAAAAAUGGGAUCAUUGGAUUUAAAUAUUAGAAUCUUCACCCUUAUUUUAAUUUUAAUAGAUAAGUAAUUUUGUAACUAGUAAUUUACAAGUUGUAGUAUUUCUUCACACUUUAAAUUAUUUUUAAUCUAAUCAAUUCAUAAAUAUUUUUUAAGUCACCAAAAAAAAUACAAAUAAUUUUGGAAUUAAAAUUAUUGUGUACUGUCUAUAACUUUACAAUUUUACAAGUAAUGUUAUUUUAAUAGUACUUUAUAUAAAGAUAUUUUACAAGGUGUUAAUAAUAAUUUAUUGUAUUAAUUUAAUUAUAAACUAUUAAAUAAACAAUAAUGAUCAUAGAAGGAGAAUUAGAAAUAGGUUUUGUUGCUAGCAAAGAUCAAAUUACAGAUGUGUUAACCAAGCCUUUACCCUUUUAUAAAUUCAGUCAGUUCAGAAGCAAACUCAGAGUCUUUGACAAGACCUUGAGUUUGAGAGAGGGUGUUGAAAAUAGCAGUUGUCAAGAGUCAACAGCUGACCCUCAAAGCCACGUUAGCAUGCCACCUAAGUCAUUGUCAACUGGAGCCAACUGAUCUAAUAGUGAGCUGGAUUUGAUGUGCUUUCAAAAUAGUUAUACUGAAGAAUCUCAGCACCUGUGCAUGAAGGAUUGGAAUUUCUAGAAGCUUGAUAAUGAUUGGAUGAUGAUUGCUAUUGUAACUAAAAUUUUCUUAUAUUUCCUUAGUUACCCUUUUAGUUAGCUGUCGUUUUUCCUCUUGGUUUUUGUAUAAAUAGGCAGCACUCUCUAGCUAUCAAUUCAUUCAAGUUUUCAUCCAUUCAUUAUUUUCUGGUUUAUGCUCUGUUUGCUCUGUAAACAAUUCCUUGAGAAUUUAAGUCUUAAAGGUCAGUGAAUCAUAUCCAUUAGAUUGAACUAUGCAUAGCCAUGAUUUAUUCUUGAUUAUAAUAUUUUGAAAAGAUGAAAUGAACUUGUGGUUGACUGACUUAUUAAUUUCUAGUCUUAAAAUUGGAGUGCACGUAAAUGAAAAUGGUCUCUUUACUCUGUUUGCGAGAAUCAUAUUAUUUUUUAUUCCAUAUACCAAUUCAUCUCAGAACAUUAAGAUCAAAUUAUAUAUAAUUUAAUUUAAUUAAUAAUUAUUUCCUCAGUAUCAUUUUUAUCGUAUAGUAAUUAGUUAAAAUGCAGAAUGUCGUUAUGAACUGCUUAAUCAUCUCAUGCAACUAUAGACAAUUAUUUAACAAUCAGUGAGUAAUGAUUCAUGAUAUAUUAUUUGGAAUUCAAACCAUUUAUGAACUAUACAAGUGUAUAAAUCCUUAUUAAGGAUUAUUUUAACUUAAAUAUUUUACAUAUACUUUGUGACAUUGAUUUCAUGGAAUCAAAUUAUAGAUGAUUUCAUAUAAUUUAACUUUUGAUGGUUUAACAUAAUUAAAUGUUACUUUUUAUUUGGAUUAACGACAUAAAAAUACAAAAUUUUUAGUAAAGAAGACAACUAAUAAAAAACUAAAUAUAUAAUAAAUUAGUUAUUGGUAUUCAUUCAUAAUUACCAUAAACAAAUCUAAAUAAUUUAAAUUAUACAUUAUUACAUACGAGAUAGUGCAUAUGAAAUACAUUAUUGCCUAUUAAAGAAAAUCAAGAUUGGCUUUAGCUAGAGUUUGCAGGGCUUUAGGUAAUUUUUUUUUUUAAAGGAGACCUCCUUAUAUUCAAAACCUUUAACACUUAAAGAAAAUAGAAAAGAGAUUAAAAUUCAUCGAUAUUUAAUUAUAUUUUGAAUUUCUACAAAAAUCAAGAACAUCCUAAACAAUUUUAAAAAAUCCUUAAAAAAGUAAUCAAGAAGAUAUUUGAUGAGAACUUUUAUAAAUUAAAUAAAUAAGAACAAUA
rnacentral:lncRNA from 1 species